rnacentral:rRNA from 1 species
GAGUGGAAUUCCUAGUGUAGCGGUGAAAUGCGUAGAUAUUAGGAGGAACACCAGUUGCGAAGGCGGCUCUCUGGACUGUAACUGACGCUGAGGCACGAAAGCGUGGGGAGCAAACAGGACUAGAUACCCUGGUAGUCCACGCUGUAAACGAUGCGUAAUAGGUGUCGGGGGUUACACCCCUCGGUGCCGAAGCUAACGCAUUAAGUACUCCGUCUGGGAGGUAAGCUCGCACGAGUGAAAUCCACAGGA